UCUCUGGAUGGUUAUGGGGGUGGUCUUUUGUGCGACCACGACCCUUCUUUUGUGGAGGCACAUUUGAAGUGGAUGGCCUCGCAUCUAAUUAAUUUACAUAUUUAAAAAUUAAUAUUUAAUAAAAAUCAUGAUAAUAUUUAAAAUAUAAAUAAUAAACUGACCACUCGAACUGGACUCCUCGAAAGAGCGACGGGAUGUAACCAUCGCUAAUGCCAUGAAAGGUGUGAUGACACCAACCAGAAAGAAAAAGGUAAACAUAAUCUGAAAUAUUACAAUUUUAAAAUAAAAUCAGUUAUUUUAAAUACAUAGUCAGACACCCGUAUAUGGGGUCUUGGUCUGACACAACAACCAAACAUUUUUCCUAUUGUAAUUUACAUUCUUUAUUAUUAAACACAACAAAUCUNNNNNNNNNNNNNNNNNNNNNNNNNNNNNNNNNNNNNNNNNNNNNNNNNNNNNNNNNNNNNNNNNNNNNNNNNNNNNNNNNNNNNNNNNNNNNNNNNNNNNNNNNNNNNNNNNNNNNNNNNNNNNNNNNNNNNNNNNNNNNNNNNNNNNNNNNNNNNNNNNNNNNNNNNNNNNNNNNNNNNNNNNNNNNNNNNNNNNNNNNNNNNNNNNNNNNNNNNNNNNNUGGAACACGUUUGUUUUUCUGAACGCCUUCGACGACCCACCUGCACGUUCCGCAAUUCGGGCAAGUUUCUGCGUUUGCAUAUUCAUUUCGAUAUAAAAUACAAUCGUUGCGACAUGCAUCGAUUUUCGUAUAAUUGAGGCCCAGGUCACGAACUACCGAUUUCGCAUGAUACAUGGUUUUCGGAAUGGUCGAUUCCCCAUUUGGAAUAGCACGACGCAUGAUGGAUAGUAAUUUCUGAAAACUUUUAUCACUCCAAUGAUUGUCGCACUUUAACUGAUACAAUUCCAAGAUAAAAGAUAGUUUGGAAAACUCAGUGCAACCUGAAUAUAACUGUUCUUCACCUUCUUUUAGACGGCGUAAGAACGAAUCGUCAUAUCUCUGCUCUGGAUCUUCGUCGACUGGAUCUACAUCGACUGGAUCUUCAUGGACAGGCUCGUAUUCGAGAGGUUCUGUUUCGAGAAAAUCUUCGUCGGCUAUAUUGUCAACUACAUGUUCUCCGUAAACCGCACGAACCAAUCCAAUCAUAUCGUUACCAGUUUCCGGCACUGUUUCUUUUCGUUUCACUUUUUUCUCACCGUAUCUACUCGGUAACUCUCCGUGACGCGUCCAAACAUCGUAAUGUUUCAACCAACCAUUUAUGAAAAUAUGCUUCCUCAUCUCCUUUAUAGGAAUCACUUCACUAUUCGUGCAGGACGAGCAUGGACAUGGUAAAUAACCUUCUGAGUGAGUCGAAUUCGAAAUGGCGAAAUUAGUGAAAGCUGUUAACCCUUCGCCGUAUUCUUUCGAAAACCGAUCUAAACUCAUCCAAGCUUUAUCGGGUACUUUCAUAACGUUCGACAUUAUCCUAAAAAUUUAAAUUUUUAUCGAAUUAUAAUUAAUUAGAUAAAAAUUAUUAAUUUGACUAUUACAAUAUUAGUUAUAGUUCAAAUUUUUGGGAAAAUCUAGCUAAUUAUUGAACUAUUCCGAAUCCGUUUCAUAAACGACUUUCUUCGGAGUUGCUGGUUGCGGAACUAGAGGGGCCGGUGCUGGACGAACAGGUGCCGGCGGUGCGGGAUAGGCCGGUGCUGGACGAACAUGUUCCGACGGUGCGGGAUAAGCCGGUGCUGGAUGAACCGGGAGAUAAAACCGGAAAGCAUCUUGGGGAUUGGGUGGUAAAGCCCUCCUACGAGGUAAUUGCUUCCCUCUACGUGGCAUUUCUUAAAAUCUAAAAAAAUAUUAAAUUAAUUAAUUAUUUGUUUAAUUUGUUUAAAAAAUAUUAAAUUAAUUAAUCAUUUCAUGGAAUUAUUCAUUAUGAUUUCUAUAAUUUCAUGGAAAUUAUAUUCAUUAACAUUUCAAUUUAAUAAUUAUUAAUUAAUUAACAAAUUUUUAAUUUCAGGCUAAUUAAUCAUUAACAUUUCAAUUUAAUAAUUACUAAUUAUUUAAAAAAAUAAUAAUUUCAUACAAAUUAAUCAUUAUUAUUUCAAUUUAAUAAUUAAUUAAAUAAUUUCUAAUUAAAAUGAUCAUAUAUUAUUUCAUGCAAAUUAUAUUCAUUAACAUUUCAAUUUAAUAAUUAUUAAUUAAUUAACAAAUUUUUAAUUUCAGGCUAAUUAAUCAUUAACAUUUCAAUUUAAUAAUUAUUAAUUAUUUAAAAUAAUAAUAAUUUCAUAAAAAUUAAUCAUUAUUAUUUCAAUUUAAUAAUUAAUUAAAUAAUUUCUAAUUAAAAUGAUCAUAUAUUAUUUCAUGCAAAUAUUUCAUUACUAAAAUAUUAAUAUUUAAUAAUUGUCAAUCAAUUAAUAAAAUACUAAUUAUUUUUAUUUCAUUUGAUAAUUAAAAUGAUAAUUUAAUAAUUUAUUUUAACAACAAAUUAAAUAAAUUGAUAAUAAAUUUAUUAAAUAAAAUUAUUUAAUUUUUACCGUAAAUGAGCUUUUCUUCAAUCCAAAACUUACUUCAAUCUUGAUUUUCAAAAACCUAUAACAAAUCAAAAACACAUUAAAUAUUUUAUAUAAAUUAUUUAAAAACAAAAAUUAUUUUAAUUUUUUAAUUAUUUAUUAAAUAAUUUAAAAACAUAAAAUAAUUAAAACAAAUUUUUUUCAUGCAAAUAAUUAAUAAAGAUAUAGAUUCAUGUAAAUUAUUAAUUACAUUGAUAUUUAAUUACAAUUAUUUAAAUAAUUCACAAAUAAGUUGAUUAAAUAAAAAAUUUAAUUAUUUUAAUUUAAAAUAUGAAAUAUUUAUUUUAAUUAUUUUAAUUCAUGAAAUAAUUGUAAAAUAAUUGAUUAAUUUCAAAUAUGAAAAACUUUCAUUAUUUAAUUAUUUAAAAACAGUAUGUCAUUUAAUUAAUUCAAAACAUUAUUUUAAUUAUUUUAAUAACUAAUUAUUUUAAUUUUAAAUUAUUAAGACACAGUAAUUAAAUUUUUUCUAAUUAUUUAAUUAACAUUUUAAUUAACAUAUUAUUUUGAUACAAUUUUAUAAUUAUUAGUUAACAAAUCAUUAAAAACAUUCAAUUUAAUAAUUACUAAUUAACACAUUUAUAAUUACAUGCAAAUUAAAUAAUUACAAGUAUAACACAAAAUAAUUAAUUUAAUUACUUAAUUUAUUAAAAACAGUUAAUUAUUUAUUUAUUUAUUACAAAUUUAAUUAAAAACAGUAAAUAAAAUAUUUAAUUUCAUUAUUUUCUACAUUAUCUAAAAUCAGUAAUUAUUUACUUAAAUUAGAAACACUUAUUAUUUAAAUUAAAUAAAUCAUUAAAAUUAAAACAAAAUCUUCACAUUUCAUAAUUAUUAUUAAAUCAUGCAUUGAAAUUCUUAAAUAUCAAAAACACAACAUGAUAAAUUCUUAUUCAUAUAUUGAAAUCAAAACUAAAAUAGUAGACACAUGCAUCUUCAUCAUAAACUAUAACAAAACCACCUUGAAAUCAAAACAUCAAACCAUUCAAAUAAACAUAAACAUGCGAGCAACAAAUAGAUAAACAAAAUUCGAGCAACAAACCAAAAUAAGAGAUACAUAGAAAAAGAAAUAAAGAGAUAAUAGGAAAUUGAGAAACAAAAACCAAAACCCAAAUAGUCAAACCAAAACCAAAUUAACAAUCCUCAAUCCUCAAUCAAUACAUUUACAAUCCUCAAAUAUAGAUAAACCAUUUACAAUCCUCAAUAUUCCUCAAAGAAAUUACUGCCUAGGAACACAGCUACACAAGGCAUGUUUAACAUUUGUAUUUGUAUUUGAUUUAAUUUUAAUUUAUUCUAAUCUGUAUGGGUUAUUAUCAAAUAAUUUGUAUUACAAUCACACAAUCUAUAUCUUGAAAUAAGCUUGUAUAUUUAUAGUAUAUGUUUGGACUCAUGAUGUUAGAGAGAUGAAAUUUCACUAAGAUUAAAAGAUGAUCUACAACUAAGUUUAAACAGAAGAUAAGACCAGAACUAUUAUUUGGUUCAUCGAUCCUCGCUUUUCAAUACAACAUAAGUAUCGCAGUCCACUAAAAAUAGAAAUGUCAAUCAUUCACAAACCCAUUCAUCAUUCACAAACCCAUUCACAAACCCAUUAAAUCAUUCACAAACCUAUUCAACAUUAUUGAAAUUCACAGCAAUUAUUCAAACCAAUUAAAUCAAACCAUCAUUCACAAACCAUCAUUAAGAAAUUACAAAUCAAAAAAUCAAAUGAAAAACGAAAAAAAUGAAAAAAAUGAAAAAUUGAAAUCCACAUACCUUCACAGAUCGAACCGGAGAGGGCGAUCACAGAGACGUCGAGAACCGGCGGGGAGACAGGCGGAGAGCAGCGGCGAUUUCUUCACCGAAAUCCUUUAUUCAAAUACAAUAUUCAACAUUAGCGAUUUAAACAUAUAUUCUAAAUAGAUCAAAAUGUAAAUUGAUUAAUUCCAGUAUAAAUUCCAGUAAAUCUAAACAUGGUGAAUAGAUCGAUUAAUUCCAGUAAAUAGAUCAAAAUGUAAACAUUACAUUGAAUAGAUUAAAAAUAGAAGAUACCCAAAGAUUAAAAAUAUAUGGACAUGGAAUAUAUUAAUACAAUCAAAGAUAAACAAUCAAAGAUACCCAAAAACAAUCAAAGAUACCCUAAAAAAACAAAAUCAAAAUCAAAAAUAUAAAACAAAUAUUAAAACAUAUAAGUAAUAUAUCUCACCAAAGCAAGAAGGGACCGACCAAAGGAAGAACGGACAGACCAAAGCAAGAACGGCCACCACCGGAGGCGAGAUCGGAGUCGGCGACGGCGGACGGAGUCGGAACAGAACGGCGGCACGGACGAAUCGACGGGAACAGAACGGCGGCAGCACUUCACUCCAAAGCAAGACAGAACAAACGCGUUCUGUCUGGAUUUGGGGUUUUUAAUAAACCCCAAAUCUUACAUGGCGGAAAUCCGCCAUGUAAGUACACUUAAGUGCCGCCAGCACUUAAGUGAAAGUCCGCGCAAUCGAAAUUUGGGCGGGCUUUUUCCGCCCGAGUCCCCGAUGACUUAAGAUGGCGGAUUUCCGCCAUCUUAAGUCAUUUUAAUCGGGUAAUCGGGCUGGAAAUUGGGGGAGAUUCGAAAUUUUGGGCGGGAUAGUUUAGAUGGCGGAUUUCCGCCAUCUAAACACCGCCAUCGAAAAAAAUUCCGAACCGCCGUCGAGCCAAAACGUUUCCUCGGCGGACUGAAAGAAUAGAUGGCGGAUUUCCGCCAUCUAAACUAUUGAAGUAUUGAUGGCGGAAAUCCGCCAUCUAAAGGCCGCCAUACAAGGUCCUUUUUUUUGUAG
rnacentral:lncRNA from 1 species